GAUGAACGCUAGCUACAGGCUUAACACAUGCAAGUCGAGGGGAAACGAUAGAGAAAGCUUGCUUUUUCUAGGCGUCGACCGGCGCACGGGUGAGUAACGCGUAUCCAACCUGCCCAUCACUUGGGGAUAACCUUGCGAAAGUAAGACUAAUACCCAAUGACGUCUCUAGAAGACAUCUGAAAGAGAUUAAAGAUUUAUCGGUGAUGGAUGGGGAUGCGUCUGAUUAGCUUGUUGGCGGGGUAACGGCCCACCAAGGCGACGAUCAGUAGGGGUUCUGAGAGGAAGGUCCCCCACAUUGGGACUGAGACACGGCCCAGACUCCUACGGGAGGCAGCAGUGGGGGAUAUUGCGCAAUGGGGGCAACCCUGACGCAGCAACGCCGCGUGAAGGAUGAAGGUUUUCGGAUUGUAAACUUCUUUUAUUAAGGACGAAACUUGACGGUACUUAAUGAAUAAGCUCCGGCUAACUACGUG
rnacentral:rRNA from 1 species